GCCAGUCCCUGAACAUAUCCACCCUCAACGUGCGUUCCAUGCUACCUGAGAACCUGAACCAUUUCUUCAGGUACCAGGGCUCUCUCACCACCCCUCCCUGUUACGAGAGCAUCCUGUGGACCGUGUUUGACACUCCCAUCACCCUCUCUCACAACCAGAUCAGGAAGUUGGAAAGAUUCUGAUGGACAUGGACAAUAGGACCCUGUGGGAAUGAUUACCGCAUGGCCCAACCUCUCACGACCGCGUGGUCGAGUCCUCCUUCCUGCCUGGCCUGAGGAAGCCAGUAUGUAUACAGAACCUGGUCUUAGGAUGUCAUGAUGAUCAACUCAAACUGAUCCAAUAUUAUCAUAUUAUAUGUCAUACAGGUUCUGCUGUUAUGAUAAGGAAGUGGAUCUGGUUGUCCUAAAUUAUGCUGUAGCCCUUAAUUUGAAGACAUGUCUCUUCAGUUUGCUCCACUUUUCAUACACCAUGGUUUGAAAAGAGAGGUAGACGCAUCUUGGUCUUUCAAGCAGCAUGUAUCUAUACUUGACCGGCUGUGUGUCAGGACCGGCUGUUGUCAGGACCGGCUGUGUCCGGACCGGCUGUACAGACCGGCUGUGUCAGGGACCGGCUGUGUCGGACUGGCUUGUGUCCGGACCGGCUGUGUCAGGACCGGCUGUGUCAGGACCGGCUGUACAGGACCGGCUGUGUCAGGACCGGCUGUGUCAGGACCGGCUGUUCAGGACCGGCUGUGUCAGGACCGGCUGUGUCAGGACCGGCUGUGUCAGGACCGGCUGUGUCAGGACCGGCUGUGUCAGGACCGGCUGUGUGUGCUAAGUAAAGGAAUGGAUAUAUUCCACCCUUAG
rnacentral:lncRNA from 1 species